rnacentral:rRNA from 1 species
ACUUAGUGGCGGACGGGUGAGUAACGCGUGAGGAACCUGCCUUUCAGUGGGGGACAACAGUUGGAAACGACUGCUAAUACCGCAUAAUGUAUUCUGACCGCAUGAUCGGAAUACCAAAGAUUUAUUGCUGAAAGAUGGCCUCGCGUCUGAUUAGAUAGUUGGUGAGGUAACGGCUCACCAAGGCGACGAUUGGUAGCCGGACUGAGAGGUUGAACGGCCACAUCGGGACUGAGACACGGCCCAGACUCCUACGGGAGGCAGCAGUGGGGGAUAUUGCACAAUGGGGGAAACCCUGAUGCAGCGACGCCGCGUGGAGGAAGAAGGUUUUCGGAUUGUAAACUCCUGUCGUUAGGGACGAUAAUGACGGUACCUAACAAGAAAGCACCGGCUAACUACGUGCCAGCAGCCGCGGUAAAACGUAGGGUGCAAGCGUUGUCCGGAAUUACUGGGUGUAAAGGGAGCGCAGGCGGACCGGCAAGUUGGAAGUGAAAACUAUGGGCUCAACCCAUAAAUUGCUUUCAAAACUGCUGGCCUUGAGUAGUGCAGAGGUAGGUGGAAUUCCCGGUGUAGCGGUGGAAUGCGUAGAUAUCGGGAGGAACACCAGUGGCGAAGGCGACCUACUGGGCACCAACUGACGCUGAGGCUCGAAAGCAUGGGUAGCAAACAGGAUUAGAUACCCUGGUAGUCCAUGCCGUAAACGAUGAUUACUAGGUGUUGGAGGAUUGACCCCUUCAGUGCCGCAGUUAACACAAUAAGUAAUCCACCUGGGGAGUACGACCGCAAGGUUGAAACUCAAAGGAAUUGACGGGGGCCCGCACAAGCAGUGGAGUAUGUGGUUUAAUUCGACGCAACGCGAAGAACCUUACCAAGUCUUGACAUCCUGCGACGCACAUAGAAAUAUGUGUUUCCUUCGGGACGCAGAGACAGGUGGUGCAUGGUUGUCGUCAGCUCGUGUCGUGAGAUGUUGGGUUAAGUCCCGCAACGAGCGCAACCCUUACUGUCAGUUACUACGCAAGAGGACUCUGGCAGGACUGCCGUUGACAAAACGGAGGAAGGUGGGGAUGACGUCAAAUCAUCAUGCCCUUUAUGACUUGGGCUACACACGUACUACAAUGGCGUUAAACAAAGAGAAGCAAGACCGCGAGGUGGAGCAAAACUCAGAAACAACGUCCCAGUUCGGACUGCAGGCUGCAACUCGCCUGCACGAAGUCGGAAUUGCUAGUAAUCGCGGAUCAGCAUGCCACGGUGAAUACGUUCCCGGGCCUUGUACACACCGCCCGUCA